UGCCAGCAGCCGCGGUAAUACGAAGGGACCUAGCGUAGUUCGGAAUUACUGGGCUUAAAGAGCUCGUAGGUGGUUAAAAAAGAUGAUGGUGAAAUCCCAAGGCUCAACCUUGGAACUGCCAUCAAAACUUUUUAGCUAGAGUGUGAUAGAGGAAAGCAGAAUUUCUAGUGUAGAGGUGAAAUUCGUAGAUAUUAGAAAGAAUACCAAUUGCGAAGGCAGCUUUCUGGAUCAAUACUGACACUGAGGAACCAAAGCAUGGGUAGCGAAGAGGAUUAGAUA
rnacentral:rRNA from 1 species